UUUUGGUUUCUUUCUUACAAAGCAUUCAUUAGCGAAUAAUUAAUUGUUCGCACAUGUACAUUAGCUGGCUAUAGAUGUAUGAAUAGUUUGGACUUGGUUCACAUGAUCACAUGUUGUAACGUGUACGUUUAGUAUCUUUUCUUCCCAAAUUGUCAAUUAGUUAAGCAUAUCAGAAAUGGAUAUACCCUCAAAAAUAUUUUUGUUUUUUUUUCUUUUCUCUCUACUUAGAUCAAUCUUCCUACUUGGCUUUAGAUUAUAGUAAUGGUUGGUCCACAACCCUUGGACACAUAAGGCAUUAGGAAAAUCAAACUCCGCUACCUC
rnacentral:lncRNA from 1 species